UUGACAAUUAAUUAAUUCCCAGUCUCCUUCGUCCCUAACACCCCCCCCCACGGUUUCUAAAUAGAGAAAACAAAACCAACAGUUGAAAACACAGUUGGGUUAAUUUUUUUUCAAAAUUAAACAAAACCAAUAACUGAUUUUCCUUUUGUCCCAAACUUUUCAUCUUCUUCUCAUUCGUUUUCAGCAUUGUUAAUUUUUUUUCCUUCAUCUUCUUCUCCUUCAUCUUAACAGUUUCAAUCUUUCUCUGUAAACCACCAAAAACACAGACCCAUGGCAACAUCGCACCAGACCCAUCAUUAUCACCCUUUCUCUUUGUAAACGGGUUGGGUUUUGCACUCUCUUCUUCAAUAAAUCAGGUGUUGUUCUGUCGUGUAGAUUCAUCUCGCUCAUCUAUAACUCAAGAACACAGGAGCAAGGUGGCUGGUUGAAUUGAGUGUUAGCUCUGCAGUUUUUUUGUGUAAUUUAUUUUUCAUGCCUUGAGAGAUCCUUUCCCACCUAAUUGCCAUGGAAAAAUCACUCACAUCCGCAAAGGGAGGAGAUUUGUGAAGCCAUCAAAUUUUACGAAGGAGAUGGAUGCUGAUAGGGUAUGAUUGCUCAAUUUUGUAAACUGUUACUGCUUGAUAAUAUUGUUAAAAGUCAAUUAGCAGAUGCUCUGACUUGCAUUGGAAAUUUUGUAUUUCCUUACUGAUAGAUUACUAUAUUUAUUGAUUUGAAAACCAGUGUACUUGUAAGGGUGAAGCAGGUACUACAUAUUUGUUUUGUAUUCACAGCCUCUUUAAGAUGCACUUUGAUUUAUUGAAGAGUUUAAAACCCAGAUAAACUUGUUCUUUGGGUGAUAAUUAUGCGUCUAUUACUGAUUACCAGCGCUCUUAUUACAGUGGGCGCUGAGUAUGAGCUGACGCUAUAACUGGUUCAGUUUUGUUAGAUUUGGUGGCUGGUUCAGCUAUCCACUUUAUGCAGUUCUGGAGAAAUUUUCUGUGUGUUUUUGUCAUCUGCUUUUUUUUAAUAUAGUUUUUUCCAGCUGCAGAAUUUGAUUAUUGUGGAGAUGUAAGGGAUGAUUAUUUUCCCAUAUGUGGAGAUUAUACUGUGCAACUGCUCUUAUAGAAUCCAAGCCAGUCCUCUGCUCCUUCUUCAUCUUUUAUUCCUUUUAUCUGUUUUUUUUUAAUGAGGAUGUGCAAGAAUUGCUGUAUUUUUUUAACUCAAAUAGUGAUCGAAGUUCAGCCCAAGUCCCAAUGCAAAUCACUGCUAGCAAUGGUAUGGCUAGUGUAAAUAACUCACUCACCACAGCAUCUACAACCACGUCUGCCAGCACUAUUGUGGGGCUUCUCCACCAAAAUUCAAUGAAUAAUGCAAGCAGUCCCUAUGGAGGAAACUCUGUUCAGAUUCAAUCUCCUGGUUACUCCACCUUGACCACUAUAUCCUGGUUCAUUUUGUGUAGAUCCAAAAUAUCAUGGUUCGUCUCCGCAACCAGCACCAUGAUUGUAUCUUUUGUUGUUUUUUUUUAUUGUAUUUCAACUUAUUUGUAUUAAUUCAAGUUUAACUAAAUUUUUAUAAUAUGAAUAUUAUUUUUAUUCCAUUUUUUAUUAGUGAUACAAUUAUUUUUAAUAUUAAUUUAUGUUGGUUAUAUAUAUUCCACAAUUUUUAAAAUAUCCAUAAAUAAUUAAUUAAACAAAUUAAAAGUCAUUUUGAUAAAUAAAUAAAA